rnacentral:sRNA from 1 species
GGAAGCCGGGGAGAAGUGUUGAAAGUGGAAACCCAAGCCCAGGGGAGAUCCCUAGGGUGAGGAGCCCGAGGGGGCGCGCCCAGGCUUGGGGGUAGCGGGUAGAGGCGCUGCCUCGCGGACCCGCGAAUGGGACCCUGUCUGAACCCCGCAUCUCGGCUCAGCUGGGCGGAGGGGGAGGCCGCGGGAGGAGCCUUCCCCAGACCCAGCCCAGGCCCGGGCGCCGCAGACGGUCUACGCCAGGUUCCUCAGGGACCCCGAGGCCAAGAAGCGCGACCCCCGGGAAACCUUUCUGGUAGCCCGUGCCCCAGACGCGGAGGACGGCACUCCCAAAGGCGCGAGGAAGGAGGAAGAAGAGGAGGAGGAGGCAGCUACGGUGACAAAGAACAGCAAUCAAAAGGGCAAAGCCAAAGGAAAAGGCAAAAAGAAAGCGAAGGAGGAGAGGGCCCCGUCUCCCCCCGUGGAGGUGGACGAACCCCGGGAGUUUGUGCUCCGGCCUGCCCCCCAGGGCCGCACGGUGCGCUGCCGGCUGACCCGGGACAAAAAGGGCAUGGAUCGAGGCAUGUAUCCCUCCUACUUCCUGCACCUGGACACGGAGAAGAAGGUGUUCCUCUUGGCUGGCAGGAAACGAAAACGGAGCAAGACAGCCAAUUACCUCAUCUCCAUCGACCCUACCAAUCUGUCCCGAGGAGGGGAGAAUUUCAUCGGGAAGCUGAGGUCCAACCUCCUGGGGAACCGCUUCACGGUCUUUGACAACGGGCAGAACCCACAGCGUGGGUACAGCACUAAUGUGGCAAGCCUUCGGCAGGAGCUGG